rnacentral:rRNA from 1 species
AGAGUUUGAUCAUGGCUCAGGAUGAACGCUAGCGGCAGACUUAAUACAUGUGAGUCGAGGGGCAGCGGAUCCCUCCGGGGAUGCCGGCGACCGGCGAACGGGUGAGUAACACGUAUGGAACCUGCCCUUAACUGGGAAAUAGCUUUGAGAAAUCGGAGGUAAUGUCCCAUACCAUCUGAAGAAGGCAUCUUUUUCAGAUGAAAGCUCCGGCGGUUAAGGAUGGCCAUGCGGUCCAUUAGCUUGUUGGUGAGAUAACCGCUCACCAAGGCUGCGAUGGAUAGCUGAUCUGAGAGGAUGAUCAGCCACAUUGGCACUGAGACACGGGCCAAACUCCUACGGGAGGCAGCAGUAGGGAAUCUUGGUCAAUUGGCGAAAGCCAGAACCAGUCAUGCCGCGUGCAGGAUGAAGGCCCUACGGGUCGUAAACUGCUUUUAUUCGGGAAGAAAAAGUCUGUUUCCACAGAUCUUGACGGUACCGAUUGAAUAAGGACCGGCCAACUCCGUGCCAGCAGCCGCGGUAAUACGGAGGGUCCAAGCGUUAUCCGGAUUCACUGGGUUUAAAGGGUGCGCAGGCGGCUAAGUAAGUCAGUGGUGAAAGCCUUCGGCUCAACCGGAGAAUUGCCAUUGAAACUACUUAGCUUGAGUGCAGUAGAGGUAGGCGGAAUGUAGCAUGUAGCGGUGAAAUGCAUAGAUAUGCUACAGAACACCGAUAGCGAAAGCAG